GAUUGCAGGCUGCAACUCGCCUGCAUGAAGUCGGAAUUGCUAGUAAUCGCGAAUCAGAAUGUCGCGGUGAAUACGUUCCCGGGUCUUGUACACACCGCCCGUCACACCAUGGGAGCCGGAAAUGCCCGAAGUCAGUGGCCCAACCGCAAGGAGGGAGCUGCCGAAGGUGGAGCUGGUAACUGGGGUGAAGUCGUAACAAGGUACC
rnacentral:rRNA from 1 species